UAUAGCUCAGUGGUAGAGCGCAUGCUUAGCAUGCACAAGGUCCUGGGUUCAAUCCCCAGUA
rnacentral:tRNA from 1 species